CGAAAUUACGGAUGAAGGAUGGAUCCCAGGACGGGGGACCUGGGGAAAAUAAGAGCAGCAUGUCCUGGGUAAGUGAGGGCAUGAAAAACUAAAAGCAGAGAGAAACUAGCUGGAGUGUAAAUCCGCAGUUAGAGUUGGCAAGAAAUUUAAUCAGAGAAAGCGCUUAGGAGUGGAGCACAGAGACACUCCGAGGACAAAAACCAAGGAGCCCCGUGGCUCUCGGUGGAUCUCACUGGGAGAAGAUCUGGGGAGAUUUGUUUUCCUCUUCUACCUGGGUCUGGAAGAACUGGAGUCCCCACCUGAUUCUCCCAUUGAAGGAUCCUUCAACAACCACAUAGAAAGCCCUGGUCUUUUCCUGAGCACUUCAAUGGAUCUGAGAUAAAAAUCACUGAUAUUCCUUCAGAUAAUCUGAUCCACUAAUACACUAAGGGAUGAUAUAUUCUUGAUAAUAUCUGUAGGCAAUAUACAAACUGGCU
rnacentral:lncRNA from 1 species